CGUUUCUGUUGAAAAAUAUUUGAUUAGUGUCUUAUUUGUUUCAGAUCUCUACAUCAGAUUAUCAUCGAAUUCUCUGCAUAAAACACGUGCGAGCGAGAGCGUGCUACAAGGCGAAAAAAAUUCGAAUUCUCCCCAACAACAACACGUGCUCUCAGAUCGUUAUCAGAUUCAUUUUCUCACCUCUCAACUCGAGUUCCGAACCUCAUAACCAGUUGAGCUCUCGUCAAGACAACACAGCUGAGAGGAAUCAUAGGGUGGUCACCUGAGAGGAAUCAAUCAUAGCAUAAUCAUCUACACCUGUAUCCUGCUAUCUACACCUCUAGCCUGCUAUCUACACUCGAGGAGAUUCACGCAACAUCAAGCACUACAUAAUCAUGCCGAGGGAACGCAGACUUCGUGGUAUCAAUUCCGCAGCAGUCCGUCAUCGCAUCAGUCUCGAUGAGGAGGAGGAUAUCGACAUCAGCAGUGUGCUCGAGAGCUCGAAACGUCGAGUUUUCGAUAUAAUUAGGGAACAUGCCGCACGCUAUGAUGGCAAUGUCAAGUGGUACAUCGUCCUCAACGUUUUGCUGUAUAAAUUAGUGGUGAUGGAUGACAAGCAGGUUGGUGACUCUGUCUCAUCUCUAAUAAAUCUACAUAGUUACUCCAACAUAGCACUAAAUGUGCUUGAGAACUAUGAAGAGUUUAAUGAGCAUUUCAUGUUAGCUGUGAGAAAAAUACUCUCAUCUUUUGAAAAUUUUGUAAGAUAUGGGAGUGGAUGGGUGCUAAAGAAAAUUGAAUCACUGGAUGUGAAUGUGAUUAAAUUUAAUCCUAUAUACACAUCCAGUUUCAUUCAGACACCCCAGUUUUU